CAUAGCCGCGGGAAUACGUAGGGUGCAAGCGUUAAUCGGAAUUACUGGGCGUAAAGCGUGCGCAGGCGGUUAUAUAAGACAGAUGUGAAAUCCCCGGGCUCAACCUGGGAACUGCAUUUGUGACUGUAUAGCUAGAGUACGGCAGAGGGGGAUGGAAUUCCGCGUGUAGCAGUGAAAUGCGUAGAUAUGCGGAGGAACACCGAUGGCGAAGGCAAUCCCCUGGGCCUGUACUGACGCUCAUGCACGAAAGCGUGGGGAGCAAACAGGAUUAGAUACCCCUGUAGUCCCUGUCUCUUAUACC
rnacentral:rRNA from 1 species